GGGGAUGACCGGCUUCGAUAAGGAUGAUGCGCGUGUUUGCGAGUCGAGCGCAGUCUCGUUAAUCCUGCACAACUUAUAACUGCCAACUUUAACGUUGGAAGACCGGCUCUGGCAUACGCCUAAAGCCGGGAUCGGUUCACUUGUGUCUCUUAGGUGAAAUCCGGUCUUAUACAAGGAGGCUAAGUCCCGCCCCAGUGAUUCGUAGGCGGGAUCGAAAACCAAGAAUCGCUUUCGUUCAGUUCCUAACUGAAACACGCUCGUAGAGGGCAUGCGCGUUCAUUCCUUACACGGCGGUUCAAUUCCGCCCAUCUCCACAA
rnacentral:tmRNA from 1 species